GACGAACGCUGGCGGCGUGCUUAACACAUGCAAGUCGAACGGAAAGGCCCUGCUUUUGUGGGGUGCUCGAGUGGCGAACGGGUGAGUAACACGUGAGUAACCUGCCCUUGACUUUGGGAUAACUUCAGGAAACUGGGGCUAAUACCGGAUAGGAGCUCCUGCUGCAUGGUGGGGGUUGGAAAGUUUCGGCGGUUGGGGAUGGACUCGCGGCUUAUCAGCUUGUUGGUGGGGUAGUGGCUUACCAAGGCUUUGACGGGUAGCCGGCCUGAGAGGGUGACCGGCCACAUUGGGACUGAGAUACGGCCCAGACUCCUACGGGAGGCAGCAGUGGGGAAUAUUGCACAAUGGGCGGAAGCCUGAUGCAGCAACGCCGCGUGCGGGAUGACGGCCUUCGGGUUAUAAACCGCUUUCGCCUGUGACGAAGCGUGAGUGACGGUAAUGGGUAAAGAAGCACCGGCCAACUACGUG
rnacentral:rRNA from 1 species